rnacentral:rRNA from 1 species
GUGAUAAUUGAAUUUAACGGCCGCGGUAGCAUGACCGUGCUAAGGUAGCAUAAUCAUUUGUCCUUUAAUUGAGGACUGGUAUAAACGGCUGCACAAGAAAUUGUCUGUCUCUACUAUAAAAUUUGAAAUUCACAUUUAAGUGAAAAGGCUUAAAUGGAAUAGGGGGACGAUAAGACCCUAUAAAUCUUUACAAUUAGGGCUUUAGUUAUUAGAAAGUAGUUAUGGAUCUAAAUCUAAGGUUUAAAUUGUUUUGUUGGGGCGACAAAAGUAUAAUAAGUAACUGCUUUGGUUUUCAUAUUAAUUGUUUUUAUUAUGGUUAGUUUAAAAGAUCCUCUUUUGGAGAUCACAGACUAAGUUACUUUAGGGAUAACAGCGUAAUCUUUCUUGAGAGUUCAUAUCGAAAGAAGGGUUUGCGACCUCGAUGUUGAAUUAAAGAACCUUUAUGGUGUAGCCGC